rnacentral:rRNA from 1 species
AGAACUUAGCAGAGAUGCUUUGGUGCCUUCGGGAACUCUGAGACAGGUGCUGCAUGGCUGUCGUCAGCUCGUGUUGUGAAAUGUUGGGUUAAGUCCCGCAACGAGCGCAACCCUUUAUCCUUUGUUGCCAGCGGUCCGGCCGGGAACUCAAAGGAGACUGCCAGUGAUAAACUGGAGGAAGGUGGGGAUGACGUCAAGUCAUCAUGGCCCUUACGAGUAGGGCUACACACGUGCUACAAUGGCGCAUACAAAGAGAAGCGACCUCGCGAGAGCAAGCGGACCUCAUAAAGUGCGUCGUAGUCCGGAUUGGAGUCUGCAACUCGACUCCAUGAAGUCGGAAUCGCUAGUAAUCGUGGAUCAGAAUGCCACGGCGAAUACGUUCCCGGGCCUUGUACACACCGCCCGUCACACCAUGGGAGUGGGCUGCAAAAGAAGUAGGUAGCUUAACCUUCGGGAGGGCGCUUACCACUUUGUGAUUCAUGACUGGGGUGAAGUCGUAACAAGGUAAGCGUAGUGCU